AGAGUUUGAUCAUGGCUCAGAACGAACGCUGGCGGCGUGCUUAACACAUGCAAGUCGAACGAGAAAGUUUUCUUCGGAAAGCGAGUAGAGUGGCGCACGGGUGAGUAACGCGUAGGUAAUCUACCCUUAUGACUGGGAUAACAUUGGGAAACUGGUGCUAAUACCGGAUACACUUCUUUACUGCAGGGUAAAGGAGGAAAGGUGGCCUCUUCAUGAAAGCUACCGGAUAGGGAUGAGCCUGCGUACCAUUAGCUAGUAGGCGGGGUAACGGCCCACCUAGGCAACGAUGGUUAGCGGGUCUGAGAGGAUGAUCCGCCACACUGGAACUGGAACACGGACCAGACUCCUACGGGAGGCAGCAGUGAGGAAUAUUGCGCAAUGGGGGAAACCCUGACGCAGCGACGCCGCGUGAGUGAGGAAGGUUUUCGGAUCGUAAAGCUCUGUCAGAAGGGAAGAAAUGUUAUAUGGUUAACACCCAUAUAAUUUGACGGUACCUUCAGAGGAAGCACCGGCUAACUCCGUGCCAGCAGCCGCGGUAAUACGGAGGGUGCAAGCGUUGUUCGGAAUUACUGGGCGUAAAGGGCGCGUAGGCGGCUGGAUAAGUCAGAUGUGAAAGUCCAUGGCUCAACUGUGGAAGUGCAUUUGAAACUGUCCGGCUUGAGUAUCGGAGGGGAGUGUGGAAUUCCCGGUGUAGAGGUGAAAUUCGUAGAGAUCGGGAGGAACACCGGUGGCGAAGGCGACACUCUGGACGAAUACUGACGCUGAGGCGCGAAAGCGUGGGGAGCAAACAGGAUUAGAUACCCUGGUAGUCCACGCCGUAAACGAUGUGAACUAGGGAUAGGGGGUGUUGAUCCCUCCUGUCCC
rnacentral:rRNA from 1 species